CGCACAAGCGGUGGAUGAUGUGGAUUAAUUCGAUGCAACGCGAAAAACCUUACCUACCCUUGACAUGUCAGAAACUUGGCAGAGAUGCCUUGGUGCCCGAAAGGGAAUCUGAACACAGGUGCUGCAUGGCUGUCGUCAGCUCGUGUCGUGAGAUGUUGGGUUAAGUCCCGCAACGAGCGCAACCCUUGUCGUUAAUUGCCAUCAUUUAGUUGGGCACUUUAACGAGACUGCCGGUGACAAACCGGAGGAAGGUGGGGAUGACGUCAAGUCCUCAUGGCCCUUAUGGGUAGGGCUUCACACGUCAUACAAUGGUCGGUACAGAGGGUUGCCAAGCCGCGAGGUGGAGCCAAUCCCAGAAAGCCGAUCGUAGUCCGGAUUGCAGGCUGCAACUCGCCUGCAUGAAGUCGGAAUCGCUAGUAAUCGCGGAUCAGCAUGUCGCGGUGAAUACGUUCCCGGGUCUUGUACACACCGCCCGUCACACCAUGGGAGCGGGUUCCGCCAGAAGUAGGUAGCCUAACCGCAAGGGGGGCGCUUACCACGGCGGGGUUCGUGACUGGGGUGAAGUCGUAACAAGGUAGCCGUAGGGGAACCUGCGGCUGGAUCACCUCC
rnacentral:rRNA from 1 species